UACGAAGGGGGCUAGCGUUGCUCGGAAUCACUGGGCGUAAAGCGCACGUAGGCGGCUUUCUAAGUCAGGGGUGAAAUCCUGGAGCUCAACUCCAGAACUGCCUUUGAUACUGGAGAGCUUGAGUCCGGAAGAGGUGAGUGGAACUCCGAGUGUAGAGGUGAAAUUCGUAGAUAUUCGGAAGAACACCAGUGGCGAAGGCGACUACCUGGACCAGCACUGACACUGAGGCACGAAAGCGUGGGGAGCAAACAGGG
rnacentral:rRNA from 1 species